GACGAACGCUGGCGGCGUGCUUAACACAUGCAAGUCGAACGGUAAGGCCCUUCGGGGUACACGAGUGGCGAACGGGUGAGUAACACGUGGGUGAUCUGCCCUGCACUUCGGGAUAAGACUGGGAAACUGGGUCUAAUACCGGAUAGGACCACUGCCUGCAUGGGUGGUGGGGGAAAGCUUUUGCGGUGUGGGAUGGGCCCGCGGGCUAUCAGCUUGUUGGUGGGGUGAUGGCCUAACAAGGCGACGACGGGUAGCCGGCCUGAGAGGGUGACCGGCCACACUGGGACUGAGAUACGGCCCAGACUCCUACGGGAGGCAGCAGUGGGGAAUAUUGCACAAUGGGCGCAAGCCUGAUGCAGCGACGCCGCGUGAGGGAUGACGGCCUUCGGGUUGUAAACCUCUUUCAGCACCGACGAAGCGCAAGUGACGGUAGGUGCAGAAGAAGGACCGGCCAACUACGUGCCAGCCGCCGCGGUAA
rnacentral:rRNA from 1 species